rnacentral:lncRNA from 1 species
CCCUUUUGAUUUUAAACUUGGUGGUGAGCUAUUUUUCAUUUUACCGAAGUUUCUUCAAGAGUUCGUUCCUUGCCUUCUGUGACAUUUUCUAUCUGAACAACUAUUCUAUUAGUGUUCUUUUGAAAUCCAUUCUGCAUUUUUACCCUCCCCGGUAUCAGUUUGGUAUCAGAGCUAAAGGCUAGAGAUCAUGGCAAGGCGGAAUGGAAAAGAUGUAGUUGGUGAAGGUAGCGACCAUGAAGAUGACGCUGAGUCGUUGAG